rnacentral:rRNA from 1 species
GGGGAAUAUUGGACAAUGGGCGCAAGCCUGAUCCAGCCAUGCCGCGUGAGUGAUGAAGGCCCUAGGGUUGUAAAGCUCUUUCAACGGUGAAGAUAAUGACGGUAACCGUAGAAGAAGCCCCGGCUAACUUCGUGCCAGCAGCCGCGGUAAUACGAAGGGGGCUAGCGUUGUUCGGAAUUACUGGGCGUAAAGCGCGCGUAGGCGGAUCGGUUAGUUGGGGGUGAAAUCCCAGGGCUCAACCCUGGAACUGCCUCCAAUACUGCCGGUCUAGAGUUCGAGAGAGGUGAGUGGAAUUCCGAGUGUAGAGGUGAAAUUCGUAGAUAUUCGGAGGAACACCAGUGGCGAAGGCGGCUCACUGGCUCGAUACUGACGCUGAGGUGCGAAAGCGUGGGGAGCAAACAGG